rnacentral:rRNA from 1 species
UCGAGCGAAUGGAUUAAGAGCUUGCUCUUAUGAAGUUAGCGGCGGACGGGUGAGUAACACGUGGGUAACCUGCCCAUAAGACUGGGAUAACUCCGGGAAACCGGGGCUAAUACCGGAUAACAUUUUGAACUGCAUGGUUCGAAAUUGAAAGGCGGCUUCGGCUGUCACUUAUGGAUGGACCCGCGUCGCAUUAGCUAGUUGGUGAGGUAACGGCUCACCAAGGCAACGAUGCGUAGCCGACCUGAGAGGGUGAUCGGCCACACUGGGACUGAGACACGGCCCAGACUCCUACGGGAGGCAGCAGUAGGGAAUCUUCCGCAAUGGACGAAAGUCUGACGGAGCAACGCCGCGUGAGUGAUGAAGGCUUUCGGGUCGUAAAACUCUGUUGUUAGGGAAGAACAAGUGCUAGUUGAAUAAGCUGGCACCUUGACGGUACCUAACCAGAAAGCCACGGCUAACUACGUGCCAGCAGCCGCGGUAAUACGUAGGUGGCAAGCGUUAUCCGGAAUUAUUGGGCGUAAAGCGCGCGCAGGUGGUUUCUUAAGUCUGAUGUGAAAGCCCACGGCUCAACCGUGGAGGGUC